rnacentral:rRNA from 1 species
GACGAACGCUGGCGGCGUGCUUAACACAUGCAAGUCGAGCGGUAAGGCCCUUUCGGGGGUACACGAGCGGCGAACGGGUGAGUAACACGUGGGUGACCUGCCUUUAGCUCUGGGAUAAGCCUGGGAAACCGGGUCUAAUACCGGAUAUGACUCCGCGGCGCAUGUUGUGGGGUGGAAAGCCUUGUGCGGCUGGAGAUGGGCCCGCGGCCUAUCAGCUUGUUGGUGGGGUGAUGGCCUACCAAGGCGACGACGGGUAGCCGGCCUGAGAGGGCGACCGGCCACACUGGGACUGAGACACGGCCCAGACUCCUACGGGAGGCAGCAGUGGGGAAUCUUGCGCAAUGGGCGAAAGCCUGACGCAGCGACGCCGCGUG